GACGAACGCUGGCGGCGUGCCUAAUACAUGCAAGUAGAACGCACAGUUUAUACCGUAGCUUGCUACACCAUAAACUGUGAGUUGCGAACGGGUGAGUAACGCGUAGGUAACCUGCCUGGUAGCGGGGGAUAACUAUUGGAAACGAUAGCUAAUACCGCAUAAUAUUAAUUAUUGCAUGAUAAUUGAUUGAAAGAUGCAAUUGCAUCACUACCAGAUGGACCUGCGUUGUAUUAGCUAGUAGGUGAGGUAACGGCUCACCUAGGCGACGAUACAUAGCCGACCUGAGAGGGUGAUCGGCCACACUGGGACUGAGACACGGCCCAGACUCCUACGGGAGGCAGCAGUAGGGAAUCUUCGGCAAUGGACGAAAGUCUGACCGAGCAACGCCGCGUGAGUGAAGAAGGUUUUCGGAUCGUAAAGCUCUGUUGUAAGAGAAGAACGGGUGUGAGAGUGGAAAGUUCACACUGUGGCGGUAUCUUACCAGAAAGGGACGGCUAACUACGUG
rnacentral:rRNA from 1 species